ACUAACAAGGAUCCCCUAGUAACUGCGAGUGAAGCGGGAAAAGCUCAAAUUUAAAAUCUGGCGGUCUUUGGCCGUCCGAGUUGUAAUCUAGAGAAGUAAUGCCCGUGCUGGACCGUGUAUAAGUCUCCUGGGAUGGGGCGUCAUAGAGGGUGAGAAUCCCGUCUUUGACACGGACUACCAGUGCAUUGUGGUAUGCUCUCAAAGAGUCGAGUUGUUUGGGAAUGCAGCUCAAAAUGGGUGGUAAAUUCCAUCUAAAGCUAAAUAUUGGCGAGAGACCGAUAGCGAACAAGUACCGUGAGGGAAAGAUGAAAAGAACUUUGGAAAGAGAGUUAAACAGUACGUGAAAUUGCUGAAAGGGAAACGCUUGAAGUCAGUCGCGUUGGCCAGGGAUCAGCCUUGCUUUUGCAUGGUGUACUUUCUGGUUGACGGGUCAGCAUCAAUUUUGACCACUGGAAAAGGGCCUGGGGAAUGUGGCAGCUUAGGCUGUGUUAUAGCCCCUGGUCGCAUACAGUGGUUGGGAUUGAGGAACUCAGCACGCCGCAAGGCCGGGUUUCGACCACGUUCGUGCUUAGGAUGCUGGCAUAAUGGCUUUAAGCGACCCGUCUUGAAACACGGACCAAGGAGUCUAACAUGCCUGCGAGUAUUUGGGUGGAAAACCCGAGUGCGCAAUGAAAGUGAAAGUUGAGAUCCCUGUCGUGGGGAGCAUCGACGCCCGGACCAGAACUUUUGGGACGGAUCCGCGGUGGAGCAUGUAUGUUGGGACCCGAAAGAUGGUGAACUAUGCCUGAAUAGGGUGAAGCCAGAGGAAACUCUGGUGGAGGCUCGUAGCGAUUCUGACGUGCAAAUCGAUCGUCAAAUUUGGGUAUAGG
rnacentral:rRNA from 1 species